GGAAGUAAAAGUCGUAACAAGGUUUCCGUAGGUGAACCUGCGGAAGGAUCAUUACCGAGUUCUCGGGCUUCGGCUCGACUCUCCCACCCUUUGUGAACGUACCUCUGUUGCUUUGGCGGCUCCGGCCGCCAAAGGACCUCCAAACUCCAGUCAGUAAACGCAGACGUCUGAUAAACAAGUUAAUAAACUAAAACUUUCAACAACGGAUCUCUUGGUUCUGGCAUCGAUGAAGAACGCAGCGAAAUGCGAUAAGUAAUGUGAAUUGCAGAAUUCAGUGAAUCAUCGAAUCUUUGAACGCACAUUGCGCCCCUUGGUAUUCCGGGGGGCAUGCCUGUUCGAGCGUCAUUACAACCCUCAAGCUCUGCUUGGAAUUGGGCACCGUCCUCGCUGCGGACGCGCCUCAAAGACCUCGGCGGUGGCUCUUCAGCCCUCAAGCGUAGUAGAAUACACCUCGCUUUGGAGCGGUUGGCGUCGCCCGCCGGACGAACCUUCUGAACUUUUCUCAAGGUUGACCUCGGAUCAGGUAGGGAUACCCGCUGAACUUAAGCAUAUCAAUAAGCGGAGGA
rnacentral:rRNA from 1 species